rnacentral:rRNA from 1 species
AGCAGUGGGGAAUUUUGGACAAUGGGCGCAAGCCUGAUCCAGCAAUGCCGCGUGAGUGAAGAAGGCCUUCGGGUUGUAAAGCUCUUUUGUCAGGGAAGAAACGGUGAAGGCUAAUAUCCUUUGCUAAUGACGGUACCUGAAGAAUAAGCACCGGCUAACUACGUGCCAGCAGCCGCGGUAAUACGUAGGGUGCAAGCGUUAAUCGGAAUUACUGGGCGUAAAGCGUGCGCAGGCGGUUUUGUAAGUUUGUCGUGAAAGCCCCGGGCUCAACCUGGGAAUUGCGAUGAAGACUGCAAGGCUUGAAUCUGGCAGAGGGGGGUAGAAUUCCACGUGUAGCAGUGAAAUGCGUAGAGAUGUGGAGGAACACCGAUGGCGAAGCAGCCCCCUGGGUCAAGAUUGACGCUCAUG